CCUACGGGAGGCAGCAGUGAGGAAUAUUGGUCAAUGGGCGCUAGCCUGAACCAGCCAAGUAGCGUGAAGGAUGACUGCCCUAUGGGUUGUAAACUUCUUUUAUAUGGGAAUAAAGUACAGUAUGUAUACUGCUUUGCAUGUACCUUAUGAAUAAGGAUCGGCUAACUCCGUGCCAGCAGCCGCGGUAAUACGGAGGAUCCGAGCGUUAUCCGGAUUUAUUGGGUUUAAAGGGAGCGUAGGCGGGUUGUUAAGUCAGUUGUUAAAGUUUGCGGCUCAACCGUAAAAUUGCAGUUGAUACUGGAAGACUUGAGUACAGUAGAGGUAGGCGGAAUUAGUGGUGUAGCGGUGAAAUGCUUAGAUAUAACGAAGAACUCCGAUAGCGAAGGCAGCUUGCUGGACUGUAACUGACGCUGAUGCUCGAAAGCGUGGGUAUCAAACAGGAUUAGAUACCCUUGUAGUC
rnacentral:rRNA from 1 species